rnacentral:rRNA from 1 species
AACGAUGGGUGCUAGUUGUCAGGCAGCUUGCUGUUUGUGAACGCAGCUAACGCAUUAAGCACCCCGCCUGGGGAGUACGUUCGCAAGAUUAAAACUCAAAGGAAUGACGGGGGGCCCGCACAAGCGGUGGAGCAUGUGGUUAAUUCGACGCAACGCGCAGAACCUUACCAACCCUUGACAUGUCUCGUAUGGUUUCCAGAGAUGGAUUCCUUCAGUUCGGCUGGCGAGAACACAGGUGUUGCAUGGCUGUCGUCAGCUCGUGUCGUGAGAUGUUGGGUUAAGUCCCGCAACGAGCGCAACCCUCGCCUUUAGUUGCCAUCAUUUAGUUGGGCACUCUAGAGGGACUGCCGGUGAUAAGCCGGAGGAAGGUGGGGAUGACGUCAAGUCCUCAUGGCCCUUACGGGUUGGGCUACACACGUGCUACAAUGGCGGCGACAAUGGGCAGCGAAGGGGCGACCCGGUGCAAAUCCCAAAAAGCCGUCUCAGUUCGGAUUGUACUCUGCAACUCGAGUGCAUGAAGGUGGAAUCGCUAGUAAUCGCGUAACAGCAUGACGCGGUGAAUACGUUCCCGGGCCUUGUACACACCGCCCGUCACACCAUGGGAGUUGGUUUUACCCGAAGCUGGUGCGCUAACCGCAAGGAGGCAGCCAACCACGGUAAGGUCAGCGACUGGGGUGAAGUCGUAACAAGGUAGCCCUAGGGGAACCUGGGGCUGGAUCACCUCCUGAAGCUUGGAUCCCGGG